rnacentral:rRNA from 1 species
AGUGAACGCUGGCGGCAGGCCUAACACAUGCAAGUCGAACGGCAGCACGAGGGAGCUUGCUCCCUUGGUGGCGAGUGGCGGACGGGUGAGGAAUACAUCGGAAUCUGCCCAGUCGUGGGGGAUAACCUCGGGAAACCGGGACUAAUACCGCAUACGACCUUCGGGUGAAAGCAGGGGAUCGCAAGACCUUGCGCGAUUGGAUGAGCCGAUGUCGGAUUAGCUAGUUGGAGGGGUAACGGCCCACCAAGGCGACGAUCCGUAGCUGGUCUGAGGGGAUGAUCAGCCACACUGGGACUGAGACACGGCCCAGACUCCUACGGGAGGCAGCAGUAGGGAAUAUUGGACAAUGGGCGCAAGCCUGAUCCAGCCAUGCCGCGUGAGUGAAGAAGGCCCUCGGGUUGUAAAGCUCUUUUGUCCGGAAAGAAAAGCUUUCGGUUAAUACCCGGAAGUCCUGACGGUACCGGAAGAAUAAGCACCGGCUAACUUCGUGCCAGCCGCCGCAGUAA